GGUGGCUCAGUGGCAGAGUGCUUGCCUUGCAUGCAUGAGGCUCUGGGUUCAAUUCCUCAGCACCA
rnacentral:tRNA from 1 species